rnacentral:rRNA from 1 species
UACGUAGGGCGCGAGCGUUGUCCGGAUUUAUUGGGCGUAAAGAGCUCGUAGGCGGCUUGUCGCGUCUGCUGUGAAAACCCGAGGCUCAACCUCGGGCCUGCAGUGGGUACGGGCAGACUAGAGUGCGGGAGGGGAGAAUGGAAUUCCUGGUGUAGCGGUGGAAUGCGCAGAUAUCAGGAGGAACACCGAUGGCGAAGGCAGUUCUCUGGGCCGUAACUGACGCUGAGGAGUGAAAGCGUGGGGAGCGAACAGG